ACCCGCUGAACUUAAGCAUAUCAAUAAGCGGAGGAAAAGAAACCAACUGGGAUUACCUUAGUAACGGCGAGUGAAGCGGUAACAGCUCAAAUUUGAAAUCUGGCCCGUUUGGGUCCGAGUUGUAAUUUGUAGAGGAUGUUUCGGGCAAGGCUUUGGUUUAAAUUUCUUGGAACAGAAUGUCAUAGAGGGUGAGAAUCCCGUCUAGAACCGUCCGCCGCGUCCAUGUGAAACUCCUUCGACGAGUCGAGUUGUUUGGGAAUGCAGCUCAAAAUGGGUGGUAAAUUUCAUCUAAAGCUAAAUAUUGGCCAGAGACCGAUAGCGCACAAGUAGAGUGAUCGAAAGAUGAAAAGCACUUUGAAAAGAGAGUUAAACAGUAUGUGAAAUUGUUGAAAGGGAAGCGCUUGCAACCAGACCUGUGUCUAAUGGUUCCCCUGGUUUUUAACCAGGCUAUUCCGUUAUGUCCAGGCCAGCAUCGGUUCGGGUGGUUGGUUAAAGAUCUUGGGAAUGUAUCUACCUUACGGGGUCGACUUAUAGCCCAGGAUGUAAUGCAGCCUACCUGGACCGAGGAACGCGCUUCGGCUCGGAUGCUGGCGUAAUGGUUGUAAGCGACCCGUCUUGAAACACGG
rnacentral:rRNA from 1 species